UACGGAGGGUGCAAGCGUUAUCCGGAUUUACUGGGUUUAAAGGGCGCGUAGGUGGCCUUCUUAGUCAGACGUGAAAUCCCCAGGCUUAACCUGGGAACUGCGUCUGAUACUGGAAGGCUUGAGUUCGGGAGAGGAAUGUGGAAUUCCAGGUGUAGCGGUGAAAUGCGUAGAUAUCUGGAGGAACACCGGUGGCGAAGGCGGCAUUCUGGACCGAAACUGACGCUGAGGCGCGAAAGCCAGGGGAGCAACGGG
rnacentral:rRNA from 1 species